CUGUCCACAUGUUUGGGUUACAGAUCUAAACUAAUCACAGUUUUUAUACUGGUGUUUCCCGGCCAUUGAGUGUCUGGUAUUCCUUUAUCAGAGAUGAAUGGUUGGAGAAAUAUAGUCUUAACAGAGAUGGGGAUACCUAGGUCAAGUUGCUGGUAGCUACUUAUAGUGCACCUAGUUCUUUUAGUGUACUGGUAGCUAGUGUUAUGAUUGCAGUCUGAUAACAAUCCUUUCCGGCUUGAAGAGUCAUUUUUUCCCACCUAGAAAGAUUGUAGACGGCCCAAGCUGUAAUUGUAGUUAAAAAGGAAUUUUAUACACAAUGUUUCGUGAUAUUUGGCUGUAAAAGGGUAAAUUGUGGCAGUUUGCAAAACAAAAUGGCGCUCGGGCGGGCGGUGACACAUCCAGGGUUUGGUGAAGUGCAGUGACACUCUAUCAGCGGGCACCAAGCCUGCCCCAGGGAGCAGAACCCGGCUCACUGUUCGGCUAGACUUCACACAUGGAGGUUGUGACCUUGGCACUUGAGGACCAGUAGAUUGGGAUCUAAAGUGACAGAUUUGGAUCUUAAGUACGAGUUGAGCCUAGGAGAUGGGAGUCAGGCGUUUUCAGGACUCAGACCAUUAAGGCGCCAAAGGGACCUUUCUGGAUAAGGCCAUAAGAGUAUCGUCGACGAAGGGCCUUGCUGAGAGUGGAGACUCGAUAGCAAACCAGAUUCAGUGGAGGGAGCUGCAAUUACCUUCAUUUGAAUCUUGGUGGGUGAACACGAAUGGCCUGACCGUCGAAGCCUAGUGACAGUCCCUACUAGUGAGCGUGGGACGUGAUAACAAUUCGGUGUGUGAAUCCAUGAGAAGUAGCCGUGGAAGAGGCUAAUGAUGGCAUGACCGAGGUCACGGUAAGCAAGUGCUCCUUCUAAUUUUGCCUGUGAUGACGCAAAUGAAGUGUUGACUGUGAUUCUGGAAAGGGAGUGAUUUAUUUAACUGUGCCAACUAAGAGGCCGUGAAUAAUCGUACAUCGAUUUAAAAAAAGCAUUAUAGUAACCAGUGAGGUGAGCAAGUGUGGCAGAAAUUAAUAUCUCUGGUUACCCUAUAGAGACAGUGAAUCUAGGAAAAGACUGUGACGGCGCCAGCCUGUAUCGAAACUGACCCAGCCAGUGAAGUCGACCUUUGUAAUAUCUUCCAUGGCAGUGAAUCAGCGCACUGAGCUCUGGCAUAAGGAUGCCGGGACAAGGUACACCCCGCGGAGCGACAAGGGUCAGGGGAGAUACAGUGUCGACACCGACGUCGGACGCCCCGCUAGGAGUGUCCCCCAGUGUGUCGAGAGGAUCGGCGCCAGGAUGUGGUGAUGGCACUUCAGAGACCUGGCGACACACGGCAUCUAUAAACCACAGAAGAUAUCAUCAUUUCCUAACUGCGGGGUUUGGCGGGUGCAUGGAAUGGACUUUGGCCCUUGUUUAUGAGGUCGGGCUGCUCGUAGUACAGUUAUCUACGUUCUCGGCUCACAUUCGGGAACCCUGGGUUCGAUUCCCGCACGGGACACAAAUGGUCACCUGGAUGAUGCAAAGUGCGCUCUUGUUACAUCGUGUGACGCUCCUGCUUGUGGCUCUUGUUACUCAGGGCGGGUGUUGGCAGCCCGCGGCCACCAGUCUGGUGGUGAGGUGUGAGGUGCACCAACGCUACGCCUCCACCACCGUCCUCACCAUCCUCACCAACACUCGGCCCCGCCCUCAACACCUCCUCCUCAACGCUAUCCUCCCCAAGGACGCUUAUGUCUCAUCCUUAACAAUAGAGACGGGAGGCAGGAAUUACACGACGGAGGUGAAGGAACGUGGACGGGGAGGACGGAGAGGCCCUCUCAACCCCCGCCCCCACAGAGUCCAUAUUGUGAAUGUGACGGAGGUGGAGGUCCACAGAGAGAGCAACACGGAGGAGACCCAACGCUUCAGGGCUGGCACCAGGGUCGAGGCUCACCACACUGCCACCUUCUACCUCACCUACGAGCAGCUCCUCGUCCGCCUCCACGGUCACUACGCCCUCACCAUCUACCUCCCUCCUCACACUGAGGGGGCGGAGCACGAGGUGCAGGUGGUGCUCCGGGAGACACAGCCCAUCACACACUUCCACCUGCAGCACCUCCCUCAGCCUCACCAACACCACCAACCUUACGUACAAGAGGAGUUGGUAAGUCCGCACGAGGUGCGGGUGAGCUACCUCCGGAGUAACGGCCAGCGUAACACCACCGGCCUCAGUAGUAACGUCACCAUCAGUACUGACAGCAGUAGCAGCAACAGUAGCAGCGCCAGUGACGGCCCACACAGCCAGGGAGACGUCCUGGCCAUCACCUAUGAUGUGGAGAGGACGCCCGACGGAGGAGAGUUCCAGGUGCUGGGAAGACACUUCGUGCACCACUUCUGCCCCGAGGGGCUGCCCAAGCUGCCCACCCAUACAGUGUUCGUCCUCGACGUGUCCGGAUCCAUGCAAGACUUCGACAAGCUGACGCAGCUCAAGGUGGCCAUGGAGGCCAUCCUCAGAGGACUACCGCCGGAGGACUCUUUCGAGGUGCUAGUGUUCUCUACGCGGGUGACGUCCCUGGGCGUGUACCGGGCGGCCAGGCCCCGGGAGGUGGAGCGCGGCGUGGCCAAGAUACACCGCCUCCAGGCCCUCGGCGGCACUAACUUCAACGACGCCCUCCUGCAGGCGGUGACGGGGGCCAACCUCCACAACGCCUCCCACGAUACAGUAAAACAGGUGGUGUUCUUGACGGACGGGAAGCCUAACCUCGGAGAGACGCGCUCAGACCAGCUACGGAGGAACGUGCGGGAGGCCAACCUCCACCAGCUGCCCAUCUUCUCCCUCGCCCUGGGCCAGGAUGCUGACCUCAGGCUGCUGCGUCAGGUGAGUGCAGACAACCAAGGCUUCACCCGUAUGAUCGACGAGAAGGAGCGUCCCGCCCAGCAGCUGCAGGACUUCUACAAGCAGAUCUCCACGCCUCUCAUGACCGACGUGGACAUUGUCUACCCGGAGGACGAGGUUGACCCGAACUCCGUCGUCAGGCACGGCCACAGCACCUACUACUCCGGUGACGAGGUGGUGGUGGCAGGCCAGCUGGCGGAGGAGGCGACGGAGGUGCACCCCAUCGUGGCCGGACACAGCAAGACGGGCCCCGUACAGUUCCGGGUGUCCAGGAUCUCCACCCCUGAGCCACCUUCCAUGAGGAACAACUAUGUGGAGCGACUCUGGGCCUACCUCGCAGUGCAGGAUCUUCUGGCAGUACAAGAUUUCAUCGAUGACAGAAACCUGCGCGAGGAGAUGCGAGCCAGGGCCAAGGAGAUCGCUAUCAGGUUUAAGUUCGUGACGAAGCUGACCACCCUGGAAGUGGUGGACGCAGAGGAGGCCCAGGACGGGGCCCACCCCGGCCUCAAGUCUGCCGCCUCCCGCCACCAGAAGUCCAACACCGGGGGCGCCAUCGCCUCCCACAUACACGAGGAACUCUCUCUUCUCCCCGAAUCAGAGUUCUUUAAGACGCUCCCAGAGCCCCUCAGCUCAAGGCUCCGCACCUCAGCCUCCAGCCAGGAGUUCUCCUUCAGCGACAACGACCCGCACUUCGUGGUGCAGGUGCCAGGCCUCGACCUGCCCCUCUGCUUCGACCUGCACGGCUCCCCGGGGAACGUCCUCAACCUGGUCCUGGACCCAGAGUCAGGAAUCCUGGUGAACGGGUUGGUGACGGCGGCGGUUGGGCGGGCGGGGGCCACGUACUUCACCAAGAUCUUCAUCUCCCUGGGCACCGUCAACUUCACCGUCACGCCCACCCACAUCACCGUAGACUGUCUUGACGACGCUGGAGACCCCACGGUGGACCGGGUCUCCACGACGCUCUGGCCCUUCAAGAAGAGGAACCAUCGGGGUGGGAGCGGUCGGCGUGUUAAGAAACCUCGUGGGAGGAGAAAGUCUGCGAGGCGGCGGGCGGGGGGGAGAAGGAAGCGGUCAGAGCGCCCUCAGCACCGCAGACACGCCCGCUCCUCCAGCCCCAGCACGACGAGGGCACUCAAGCCUCAACAGAGACACGACAAGAGACACUGUCAUGGCAACAUAACAAGAGCAAGAUAUCGGCGACAUGUCGGUAAUGUAGUUCAUCCUCAAUCCUUCACUCGCCUUCCACAGAGCUGGAGUGCACCCGACCUUGCCCGCCCACACACUGCCAGCACCCGCCUCCACCCACAUCACUCUCUCAAGCACGACCACACGCAGGCAUACACAGUCCACUCUCAGAGUCCUCUAAGUGUCGCAAGCCACAUCCAUCAGCUCGCUCUGAAGACACUCACAGGCACGCAGGAAGAUGCGAACCCAAGUCCAGCGGCUGGCGUAGCGCUUCUGACGCGGCCGACCAGAGACUCCACCCACGCCUCCCACCUCGACCACCACCAUCCACAGGCUGCCACCCUCAUCCACCCACAAUCCAGAAUCAAGCUUCUCCCUUACUUUCUAGAUCGCGCUGCUCAGAACUCUGGGGAGAACACACAGCCACGACCAGGUGACAGUAGCCACGACACAAGGAUGUUAUAUCCGGUGUCUGAAGAUCGUAAUGCUGCAACAUUGAGCACCCAGACCACGGAGGUUCCCAGGUCACAGGAGAGAGACUCGGUGAAUGACGGCGCACCAGCCCACCAGAAGGAAGAAGACCUGACAGGGGAGUGUAGUAAGACCUUCAGCUGGAAGAAGGCAGCUGGGAGAAGGUACGGAGAUGUGGUGAUGGCGCUGAGGAACCACAGGAAGCUGGACCUGCUCCUGGGAGACGUGGACGCCAACCUGCUGGUGACCCGCACCAGGAACAAGCUGGGACAGGUCUUCCUGGGCUUCUACCUGGAGAACCACCGCGUCCUCUCGCCCAACACCACCGGAAUCAUUGAGCAACAUCAAAGGCAAGCCAAACUCUCAAGAGACAAGAGACAAGCCAAACUCUCAAGAGACAAGAGACAAGCCAAACUCUCAAGAGACAAGAGACAAGCCAAACUCUCUAGAAACCUCAUCAUUAAGCCUUGCCCAAUAUAUCCAUCUCUUGAAUGGUUACAAAGACAUCUGCACCUCUCUCAUCAUAGUACAGGAUGCCUGGCUCCAGAGUACACCUCGCUCCACUCGCUAACUGCUUAUAUUUAUGCAUGGAUGAUGGCUAGAGGCACAGAUGAGCCACCAUGGAUGGAGGCUAGAGACACAGAUGAGCCGCCAUAGAUGAUGGCUAGAGGCACAGAUGAGCUGCCAUGGAUAGAGGCUAGAGACACAGAUGAGCCGGCAUGGAUGGGGGCUAGAGGCACAGAUGAGCCGGCAUGGAUGGGGGCUAGAGGCACAGAUGAGCCGGCAUGGAUGGGGGCUAGAGGCACAGAUGAGCCGGCAUGGAUGGGGGCUAGAGACACAGAUGAGCCGGCAUGAAUCGAGGUUAGAGACACAGAUGAGCUGGCAUGGAUGGAGGCUAGAGGCACAGAUGAGCCGGCAUGGAUGGAGGCUAGAGGCACAGAUAAGCCGCCAUGGAUGGAGGCUAGAGAUACAGAUAAGCCGCCAUGGAUGGAGGCUAGAGGCACAGACGAUGUGAAGAAACACGGUUUCACCGCGAGAACAUUAAAAGCGCGCCAGAAGAGGCAGAAGUCUCGGAUAGUGCCAUACAACACAUUCCAAGAGUAGAUCCAAGACACAGACGUGUAGAAUGCUUGCAUGAAAAGAAUGUCAUCUGAAAUGCCGGGCCCAAGAACUAAAGGUAGACUGUGUGAGGAGAACUUGGUCAGUUCGCGUACAAGACGGUGGGCACCGUGGAGUCCGACCCCAACACCCUGAACCACGCAGUUAAAGACAAAGUGCGGCUGGCGGUGGUGCAGCCGGGCCCACGACACCGGUACCAAGUGUCCGAGGUGAACGCCUUCCUCUCCAGCAGACGCUCCCUCCUCCACAAGACACAUGUCACCUGCCUCUACAUCCGUCAGCAGGGCCGAGGACUGGUGGCAGGCGCCCCCGCU